CAACUACUCCCUCUGUCCCAAAUUUCUUGUCUUAGAUUUGUCUAGAUACGGAUGUAUCUAAUACUAAAAUGUGACUUGAUACAUCCGUAUCUAGACAAAUGUAAGACAAGAAUUUUGGGACAGAGGGAGUACUUU
rnacentral:pre_miRNA from 1 species